rnacentral:rRNA from 1 species
CCGUACCAGCAUACUGUCCUGAAUAUGCCUCAUCUCAUUUGAGUGCAGAAGCUAAACAGGUUCAGGCUGGGUUAGUAUUUAGAUGGGAGACCACUAGGGAGUAACAAGAAUGUCCUGA